GGAGGGUGCAAGCGUUAAUCGGAAUUACUGGGCGUAAAGCGCACGCAGGCGGUUGGAUAAGUUAGAUGUGAAAGCCCCGGGCUCAACCUGGGAAUUGCAUUUAAAACUGUCCAGCUAGAGUCUUGUAGAGGGGGGUAGAAUUCCAGGUGUAGCGGUGAAAUGCGUAGAGAUCUGGAGGAAUACCGGUGGCGAAGGCGGCCCCCUGGACAAAGACUGACGCUCAGGUGCGAAAGCGUGGGGAGCAAACGGGAUUAGAUACCCCGGUAGUCCACGCUGUAAACGAUGUCAACUAGCAAUAGGGAGAGUCGACCCUUUCUGUUGCGAAGCUAACGCGUUAAGUUGACCGCCUGGGGAGUACGGCCGCAAGGCUA
rnacentral:rRNA from 1 species